ensembl:misc_RNA Metazoa_SRP Metazoan signal recognition particle RNA
GCUGGGCAUGGUGGUGUGUGCCUGUAAUCCCAGCUACUCAGGAGGCUGAGGCAGGAGAAUUGCUUGAACCCAGGAGGUGGAGUUUGCAGUGAGCUGAGAUCAUGCCACUGCACUCCUGGGUGACAGAGCAAGACUCUGUCUCGA